rnacentral:rRNA from 1 species
GAUGAACGCUGGCGGCGUGCCUAACACAUGCAAGUCGAGCGGCAGCGAGGGGUGCUUGCACCCUGUCGGCGAGCGGCGGACGGCUGAGUAACGCGUGGGAACGUGCCCCAAAGUGAGGAAUAACUGCCCGAAAGGGUAGCUAAUACCGCAUAUUAUCUUCGGAUCAAAGGAUUUAUCCGCUUUGGGAGCGGCUCGCGUCGGAUUAGGUAGUUGGUGAGGUAAUGGCUCACCAAGCCGACGAUCCGUAGCUGGUCUGAGAGGAUGACCAGCCAGACUGGAACUGAGACACGGUCCAGACUCCUACGGGAAGCAGCAGUGAGGAAUCUUCCACAAUGGGCGAAAGCCUGACGGAGCAACGCCGCGUGCAGGACGAAGGCCUUCGGGUUGUAAACUGCUUUUAUAAGUGAGGAAUAUGACGGUAACUUAUGAAUAAGGAUCGGCUAACUACGUG